rnacentral:rRNA from 1 species
GACGAACGCUGGCGGCGUGCUUAACACAUGCAAGUCGAACGGAAAGGCCCUGCUUUUGUGGGGUGCUCGAGUGGCGAACGGGUGAGUAACACGUGAGUAACCUGCCCUUGACUUUGGGAUAACUUCAGGAAACUGGGGCUAAUACCGGAUAGGAGCUCCUGCUGCAUGGUGGGGGUUGGAAAGUUUCGGCGGUUGGGGAUGGACUCGCGGCUUAUCAGCUUGUUGGUGGGGUAGUGGCUUACCAAGGCUUUGACGGGUAGCCGGCCUGAGAGGGUGACCGGCCACAUUGGGACUGGGAUGCGGCCCAGACUCCUACGGGAGGCAGCAGUGGGGAAUAUUGCACAAUGGGCGGAAGCCUGAUGCAGCAACGCCGCGUGCGGAAUGACGGCCUUCGGGUUGUAAACCGCUUUCGCCUGUGACGAAGCGUGAGUGACGGUAAUGAGUAAAGAAGCACCGGCUAACUACG